AUACGGGGGAGGCAAGCGUUAAUCGGAUUUAUUGGGCGUAAAGGGCGCGUAGGCGGUUCUCUCAGUCGGGUGUUAAAUCCCACGGCUUACCCGUGGAGCUGCGCCCGAUACUGGAGGACUUGAGGACCGGAGAGGUUGGCGGAAUUCCAGGUGUAGCGGUGGAAUGCGUAGAUAUCUGGAAGAACACCAGUGGCGAAGGCGGCCAACUGGACGGUUCCUGACGCUGAGGCGCGAAAGUGUGGGUAGCGAACGGGAUUAGAAACCCCAGUAGUCC
rnacentral:rRNA from 1 species